rnacentral:rRNA from 1 species
UACGAAGGGUGCAAGCGUUACUCGGAAUUACUGGGCGUAAAGCGUGCGUAGGUGGUUUGUUAAGUCUGAUGUGAAAGCCCUGGGCUCAACCUGGGAAUUGCAUUGGAAACUGCAUAGCUAGAGGGUUGGAGGGGGGACUGGAAUACUUGGUGUAGCAGUGAAAUGCGUAGAUAUCAAGUGGAACACCAGUGGCGAAGGCGGGUCUCUGGGCAGUAACUGACGCUGAGGAGCGAAAGCGUGGGGAGCGAACAGG